rnacentral:rRNA from 1 species
UGCAAAUCGAUCAUCGGAACUGGGUAUAGGGACGAAAGACUAAUCAAAUCAUCUAGUAGCUAGUUCCCUCCGAAGUUUCCCUCAGGAUAGCUGGCACUCGGCCGUUCCACGGAACGCGCGCGAGUCUCAUCUGGUAAAGCGAAUGAUUAGAGGCCUUGGGGCCGAAACGACCUCAACCUAUUCUCAAACUUUAAAUGGGUGAGAUCUCUGGCUUUCUUGAACCUUGAAGCCACGAGAAUCUCGGAUCAGAGUGCCAAGUGGGCCAUUUUUGGUAAGCAGAACUGGCGCUGUGGGAUGAACCAAACGCAGAGUUAAGGCGCCUAACUCGACGCUCAUGGGACACCAUGAAAGGCGUUGGUUGCUUAAGACAGCAGGACGGUGGCCAUGGAAGUCGGAAUCCGCUAAGGAGUGUGUAACAACUCACCUGCCGAAGCAACUAGCCCUGAAAAUGGAUGGCGCUGAAGCGUCGAGCCUAUACUCUGCCGUCAGCGGCAAGUGGGGCGGGGGCCCUAAACAGCCCCCGUCACGAAGCCCUGACGAGUAGGAGGGUCGCGGCGGUGUGCGCAGAAGGGUCUGGGCGCGAGCCUGCCUGGAGCCGCCGCCGGUGCAGAUCUUGGUGGUAGUAGCAAAUACUCCAGCGAGGCCCUGGAGGACUGACGUGGAGAAGGGUUUCGUGUGAACAGCCGUUGCACACGAGUCAGUCGAUCCUAAGCCCUAGGGGAAACCCUAUGUCAAUGACGGCGUAAUGCUCAGUGCUCUCUCGAACGUUUCAUACUGAACAUGGCACACGUCCGUCGGGCGAAAGGGAAUCCGGUUCCUAUUCCGGAACCCGGCAGCGGAACCGCAUACCAUUCGGGCCCUCGUAAGAGUGUUCGUCGGGGUAACCCAAAAUGACCUGGAGACGCCGUCGGGAGAUCCGGGAAGAGUUUUCUUUUCUGUAUAAGCGUUCGAGUUCCCUGGAAACCUCUAGCAGGGAGAUAGGGUUUGGAACGCGAAGAGCACCGCAGUUGCGGCGGUGUCCGGAUCUUCCCCUCGGACCUUGAAAAUCCAGGAGAGGGCCACGUGGAGGUGUCGCGCCGGUUCGUACCCAUAUCCGCAGCAGGUCUCCAAGGUGAAGAGCCUCUAGUCGAUAGACUAAUGUAGGUAAGGGAAGUCGGCAAAUUGGAUCCGUAACUUCGGAAUAAGGAUUGGCUCUGAGGAGCGGGGCGUGUCGGGCUUGGUCGGGAAGCGGGUCUGGCUGACGUGCCGGGCCUGGGCGAGGUGAACGUCCAGGGAUCCGAGCUCGGUCCCGUGCCUUGGCCUCCCGCGGAUCUUCCUUGCUGCGAGGCUUCCGUGGCGGCGUGAGCCGUCGUGGUCGUCCUCUUCGGCCGCCAUUCAACGCUCAGCUCAGAACUGGCACGGACUAGGGGAAUCCGACUGUCUAAUUAAAACAAAGCAUUGCGAUGGCCCUCGCGGGUGUUGACGCAAUGUGAUUUCUGCCCAGUGCUCUGAAUGUCAACGUGAAGAAAUUCAAGCAAGCGCGGGUAAACGGCGGGAGUAACUAUGACUCUCUUAAUCUUUUAAGCUAAAAGCAACACGACGCUAAUGGACUUGGCUGUUGCGAAAGCAACACGCCGCAAAUAGUCUAAGCGGUUGCUGUCAUAGUUAUUAUGGGUCAGUGAAGCGCAAUACAGCCGAAGGCAUGGCACUUAGCCUCUCCUGACCAAGUUAUGCUCCGUACCUCCUCGUGGUACCGCUGGUAACGCUAUUUCUCCUCGGAGAAUAGCGGCUAAAUUCGGAGUAUAGCGAAUCAGGGUCUAAAAGACCAUUUGCCCUCACGCCUGAGGAAAUCUAUGACUCUAUGUAGCGCCUCGGCGUUACAAGGUAGUCAAAUGCCUCGCCAUUUUAGUGGCGCAAACUGACAAGGUAGCCCAGUGCCUUGUCAGAGAAGACAGGUCAUUAAUAACACAGACCAAGCAACACGCCGCA